UGGGGAAUAUUGGACAAUGGGGGCAACCCUGAUCCAGCCAUGCCGCGUGAGUGAUGAAGGCCUUAGGGUUGUAAAACUCUUUCAGUGGUGACGAUAAUGACGGUAACCACAGAAGAAGCCCCGGCUAACUCCGUGCCAGCAGCCGCGGUAAGACGGAGGGCGCUAGCGUUGUUCGGAAUCACUGGGCGUAAAGGGCGCGUAGGCGGCUGCUUAAGUCGAGGGUGAAAGCCCGGGGCUCAACCUCGGAACGGCCUUCGAGACUGGGCGGCUAGGGACCGGAAGAGGAGGGUGGAAUACCCAGUGUAGAGGUGAAAUUCGUAGAUAUUGGGUGGAACACCAGUGGCGAAAGCGGCUCUCUGGUCCGGAUCUGACGCUGAGGCGCGAAAGCGUGGGGAGCAAACAGGAUUAGAUACCCCCGUAGUCC
rnacentral:rRNA from 1 species